GCAUCAGGCGGAGUCGAUACAGAACACGCCGUCGAAUGCACGACGUCGCGCGCUUCGUGUGUAGCCACUAUACCCGAAGUUCGUGUCUACUCAGAUAAGCAAAAAUAACAACUAGAGAGAAAGAGAGAGAGGCGGGAAACGUCAUCAAGGCAAGUGGUCGCCAAACGGGAGACAUACGUGAUUUUUUUUAUUGUCGGGGAUCGAACGACAGUCUUCGCUUCCGGCGCACGCGCCGAACACCCUGCGAUCAUCAAUAUAGGAUAUCAUUCUGUGCUGUGCUUGCUAGCGUUGUAGAGUCAACGAUGGCUGCGCUGCGGGUUGGUGACCUCUGCGCCAGGCUGCUGCUGUCUGCGACCGUCAUGUGGCUUCUUGGCGCUAUUCCAGCCUGCGAGUCCACGCACAUGAUAGACCACACGGAACCGGCCAACGCGACGGCGCCAGCGACCCCUCCCAGCCCGCAGCAGGCGGCCACCGACACCAUCUACUACGCUCUGGGCAUCGUCGGCGGCGCCGUCGUCGUUGUGUUGCUCAUUGUCAGCUGCCGCGCCUGCAUGCAAAGUUUCUACGAGUCGGACGACGCCUACGCGAAGGCGAAGCGCAAACGCGCCGCCAACCCCGUACGCUUCUAACGUCCGCGUCAGCAUCUGCGUCAGCGUCUACGUCAGCGCCUACGUCAGCACCUGCAUGCAUCAGCAUCUGCGUCCGCACCUAUUUUAGUGCCUGCGUCAGCGCUUAUGUAAGCGGCUGCGUCCGCACCUACGUGUUAGCGCCUGCGUAGCAUCUACGUCAGCGUCUGCGUCAGCACCUGCGUCAGCAUCUGCGUCAGCAUCUUCGUCAGCACCUGCAUCAGCGCCGGAGUCAGCACUUAUGUCCGUGUCUGCGUCAGCACCUGCGUCAGCGCCUGCGUCCGCACCUGCAUCAACGCCUGCGUCAGCAUCUAUGUCAGGGUCUGCGUCAGCAUCUAUGUUAGCGCCUACGUCCGCACCUGCGUCAGCGCUUGCGUCAGCACCGAUGAAAGCGCUUGCGUCAGGGUCUGUGUCAACACCUACGUCAGCGGCUGGUAGACGCGUUUAAGCAUGUGUUACUUACUUAGUGCCAAGCAGUACGCCACCUAGUGGUGGUUAUAUGUGUCUGUCUCGCUGUUUUUGCACAGACAAAACGACGAAGAACAAUUCCAACUAUACAAUGUCUAUCGCAAGAGGGCGUGCUAUGUUUAGUGGGCAUUCGGUCGAAUUUUGGUUCAUAGCUUAGCCGGGUUAAUCGUAUUCGGUGUUACAUGGAACGCAUCUUCUUUAACUUUCAAUCAACGUCGGCAAUCAGUUGGCCUCUUUACCUAGGGUUAAGUCACGUCAAUUAUCAACUAGACUACAUCGUAACCGAAUUAACCCUCGUCAAUGAUCAGCGGGAAUACAAUAAGCGAGUUAAAGGUAGCUUCCCUCGAACUUUGAAGCGGCAAACAUAAAAUCAGGCAAUAAUGAAUUAUUUUCAAAGCUAACGUUCAGUUAAAGUGUAGUGAGUUAUUUACUUACGUUUUUACAGUGGUUUGUUACAAACAUUUACGUGGUAAGUUCGAGGAAAGCUAUCUUUAACUCACGACGAAAGUUAUACGACGAAGUUAAUUAAGAUAGACCGCAGGUGUUAUUUACUAUGGUGGGUAUUUACGACGAGGCUGAGUGGGGGUGCGCCUUCGUGACGAUAUAACGAUGCGUUUAGGAGUUGAUAUUACCGAUUUCCACGCAUAUAAUAGUUUGUUCGUCGAUGCAAAUGAAUGCCAUUCAAAAAGAUCUUUGAUAAAAUUGUCAUUUUUAACCAUGGCACUUUUGCUAUCGUCGUAAAAUCCCGAAAAUAUAUGGUUAACCAGAUUACAGUUUAUAUUACAGUACAUAUUAAUAUAAAAAUAUUAUAACAUAUUAUACAUAUAAUUAAUGUGAAUUAAUGCACAAUUUCACUCGGCUAGUUUAAUGUGGCUUGGGUUAAUGUGAUCUAGCCUAAUAUUGUACACGGUCGAGAGAAAGUCCAUCCACAAACGACGCGCGGUACUCAGAAUUUGUCGAAAAUAAAUGUGAAUGCUAACCAGAAUGUAGCGUUGCAUUAUAA
rnacentral:lncRNA from 1 species